UUACAUAUGGUAUCAUGCAGCCUGAUUUUAGCUAAGCAUGCUGAAACACUCACUGUGCCUGUUGUAGUCCAAAUCUGCUUCACAACAACACCAGAAGACAAAUAAACAUAUCAGCAAAGAAGAAAGAACAGCAAACAGAGAGAGAAAAAAAAAAAGGAAUCAGAAGAAGUAAGACAAGGCAGCAUAUUCCCAUGAAAAAAGUAGGUAUGACUUUCACAGUGUACGGAGGAUGAAAAUAUUAGAGGAAGACGAAUAUUCCCAGAGGUGCCGUGCAUUUGUGCAGCUAGUGGAGACUUUCAAGAGGAAAGGAAGACAGGGAUAUUUUUAUCACACCAGUGCUUCCUGCAGGUUCUUGGCUGCACCAGCACUUGCCUUCUUGCUUCUUAGACUUGGGUCUAUGCAGGAUCCACGUUGUGGAUGGGGUAUUUAGGCAUUGUUCAUUGGAUUAUUCAGAAUUUGAAAAACGAGUUCAUUGCUAUUAAAGGAAAGAGAACAGAGUGUCAGAAGCACUGCUUAUGUACAGCAAAGUCAAAAAUACCAAAGGUAUUCGUUUCAAAUUGGGAUUCUCGUUUGAGUUUACCAUUUUCUUGUAUUUCCGGCAGAGGGCAGGUUUGUGUCAUGAAACCUGUUUUCUUGUUUUAUCAGAAUCCAACGUGAAGUUCACCAGUCACAUUCAAGCCUAGUUAGGAAAAAAAAGUCUUAUUCUGUGGUAGUAUCCCUUGAAAAUUUUAUCUCAUAUAUAUAUAUGUAAAAGAAAAAUAAUAAUAAUUAAAAAAGUAGGACUUCUUCUAGUAACCUUGAAGCUUGCUAAAAAUCUAGCUCCCAAAUGCGUUAGUCUUGUUUUCUAAAAUUGUUAUGAAAUUGCCACUGGUUCAUUUCUCCCAAUGUAUAUCUUCCUUGUUUCUAUUGUGAUAUCUAAGGUAUUUUUAGCUUUGACUUCAUAUGAAGACAAUCGAUGAUGCAGUUACUGUUGCAGAGAUAUGAAAAGGUGGUGUUUUAUUAAAGUUAGGUAGAAUAAAAUAAAAUAGUACUAGGAAAACACAAAUGUAAUUAAAAUCUUAAGGCUUAAAUAGUUAAAAAAUAAUAAAAAAAUAUAAUCCUAGCAUGCAAAACACCAAGGAAAAAAAACAGGUUGUUACAUCAUGGUAACAAGUCCCAGCAGGGUUAACCACAUGCCCAUGUUUGUGUAAUUCUUCUCAAUAUCAUUUUGGUUUCAAAGUGACAUGUUGUGGCACUGCCAGAACGGGACGUUCUGAAGCAAAGGGAGGCAAUUGCUUUUCUAAUUCAUGUGUCAUCCCCAGGAGUUGUGCUCUUUCUGCUGUGACUACGUGAAAAUGUAUUUGCAAAAAAUAAAAAAUAAAAAAACCUAGAUGGAAUCUUACUGGUAACUGGUAUUUCAAAUCACAUUGCUUAUGUAUGAAUCAACAGGACAGUUUAAACGCAGCAGUGGAUGCACCAGUUUUUGCUUUUGCUUCUUGCAUCUCAUUGUUGCUGCUUUUACCAUCCACGUGGUUUUGAGUCUUGGAUUUUACUUUAGUUUCGCCUACAGCUUUGCAUGCAGUGCCCCCAAAUGAUAUUGUGAUGAAAAUACACAUUUUUGAAGGUAUUUCUCCCCUUUAGCUGCUGUUGCUGUUCACUUUGUACACUAAUGUUCUUGCCAGUUUAGAUUUGCUUUGAUUUUUAUGUAGUAUGUUUUAGAUUUGUGUAGUUUUGCAAAGUACAGACUCACACAAUAGUACUGUGCUCAAAUCAUUAUCACCUGAAGAUUUAACAAUUACCAUGAAAAAUCACAAGUAUAGCCUACUGCCAACAAGCUGUGCACUGCUACUUAAGGAGCUCUACUUCAGCAGUGUUAUCCAGGAUAGUGCCUCUUCCUUGCCUUCAAGCUGUCUCUGUAGUUUCACUUUGUCUACUCUUAAGGGGAUGGCAGCACUUUGCUUUGCAUUUGGACAUUAGCUCCCACUCCCCCAAGACUAAACAUUAUUAUUAAGUUUACUGUCUGGAUGAUUCAGUAGUAUCAAAAGACAGAGUGAACUUCAUCAAGUCAGGAAGCAUAGCCUAUGGUUAGCUGGUGAAAUGUAACAAGGACUCUAAAUAGCCUCCAGCAUGUAACUGGCGUGGCCAAUAUUGAACCCAGGUCUCCAGAGGUGGAAGACUAGAAAAACUGGCCCUGGGGACAAAUACCUUUUCCAACUCCCAUCACAUUUCUAAUAGUUACUAGGGCAGAAUAAUGUUUCAUGACCUUUGGGUUGUCCCAUUACCGCAACAUAAUCUAGCUGUGCAAGCUUUCCAAAGGUCACUGUAAAAAUAAAAAUAUUUCCUGCUGUGAUCCAUACCCUCAAACACAAAGAAAAAGAAAUAUCUUAAUAAAUGUAGUGACAUUUGCACUAUAGGGCACAGUACAAAGAUCAUGAACCAUUAUUCUGCACUAGUAAUAAUGUCACGAUUUUAUUCUUGCCCAGUGGUUACUGUAUGACAUUUGUGCUCACAGGGAAAUUCCUGUGAAUAUCAGUAACUUAAAAUAUAUUGCCUCUGGGUCCUGUCGAUCUCCCAUUGGAGUCAAUGGAAGCUUUGCCAUUUGCUUACCAGUAAGAGGGAAUAGGACUGACCCAGCAUUCUCAUGAGCAAAACUGAGAUAGUUUUAAAGGGUUAUUAUUAAUUUUUUUUUUUUACAUUUCCCAUUAAAAAGCAUCUGUUAACUGGCUCCUUGAUAAAACAUGUUUCUUAAGAGAAUAUAACUGGUCAUUCUUGUUUUCCUGAGAAUUGCUGCAACUAUGUUUACAGAGGAGAGAUUAUGUGAUGAGUCUUUUUUGAAAAAAAAAAAAAAAAGAGAAAAAAGAGAAGUCAUAAUGCUUCUUGCUACUUGUGCAAUUAUUUAUGACUUGGGAGACAGAUGUUACC